GUCUUCAUGGCGCAGUUGGCUAGCGCGUUGGUCUCAUAUUACAUAAUAUGAUCAAGCUCAGUCUUGAGUUAUCCAGAGGUCGUGAGUUCGAGCCUCACUGAGGACA